AGACCCGAAACCCGGUGAUCUAGCCAUGGGCAGGUUGAAGGUUGGGUAACACUAACUGGAGGACCGAACCGACUAAUGUUGAAAAAUUAGCGGAUGACCUGUGGCUGGGGGUGAAAGGCCAAUCAAACCGGGAGAUAGCUGGUUCUCCCCGAAAGCUAUUUAGGUAGCGCCUCGUGAAUUCAUCUCCGGGGGUAGAGCACUGUUUCGGCUAGGGGGCCAUCCCGGCUUACCAACCCGAUGCAAACUGCGAAUACCGGAGAAUGUUAUCACGGGAGACACACGGCGGGUGCUAACGUCCGUCGUGAAGAGGGAAACAACCCAGACCGCCAGCUAAGGUCCCAAAGUCAUGGUUAAGUGGGAAACGAUGUGGGAAGGCCCAGACAGCCAGGAUGUUGGCUUAGAAGCAGCCAUCAUUUAAAGAAAGCGUAAUAGCUCACUGGUCGAGUCGGCCUGCGCGGAAGAUGUAACGGGGCUAAACCAUGCACCGAAGCUGCGGCAGCGACACUCAGGUGUUGUUGGGUAGGGGAGCGUUCUGUAAGCCUGCGAAGGUGGCCUGUGAGGGUUGCUGGAGGUAUCAGAAGUGCGAAUGCUGACAUAAGUAACGAUAAAGCGGGUGAAAAGCCCGCUCGCCGGAAGACCAAGGGUUCCUGUCCAACGUUAAUCGGGGCAGGGUGAGUCGACCCCUAAGGCGAGGCCGAAAGGCGUAGUCGAUGGGAAACGGGUUAAUAUUCCCGUACUUGGUGUUACUGCGAAGGGGGGACGGAGAAGGCUAUGUUGGCCGGGCGACGGUUGUCCCGGUUUAAGCGUGUAGGCUGGUUUUCCAGGCAAAUCCGGAAAAUCAAGGCUGAGGCGUGACGACGAGGCACUACGGUGCUGAAGCAACAAAUGCCCUGCUUCCAGGAAAAGCCUCUAAGCAUCAGGUAACACGAAAUCGUACCCCAAACCGACACAGGUGGUCAGGUAGAGAAUACCAAGGCGCUUGAGAGAACUCGGGUGAAGGAACUAGGCAAAAUGGUGCCGUAACUUCGGGAGAAGGCACGCUGACAUGUAGGUGAAGUGAUUUACUCAUGGAGCUGAAGUCAGUCGAAGAUACCAGCUGGCUGCAACUGUUUAUUAAAAACACAGCACUGUGCAAACACGAAAGUGGACGUAUACGGUGUGACGCCUGCCCGGUGCCGGAAGGUUAAUUGAUGGGGUCAGCGCAAGCGAAGCUCCUGAUCGAAGCCCCGGUAAACGGCGGCCGUAACUAUAACGGUCCUAAGGUAGCGAAAUUCCUUGUCGGGUAAGUUCCGACCUGCACGAAUGGCGUAAUGAUGGCCAGGCUGUCUCCACCCGAGACUCAGUGAAAUUGAACUCGCUGUGAAGAUGCAGUGUACCCGCGGCAAGACGGAAAGACCCCGUGAACCUUUACUAUAGCUUGACACUGAACAUUGAGCCUUGAUGUGUAGGAUAGGUGGGAGGCUUUGAAGUGUGGACGCCAGUCUGCAUGGAGCCGACCUUGAAAUACCACCCUUUAAUGUUUGAUGUUCUAACGUGGACCCGUGAUCCGGGUUGCGGACAGUGUCUGGUGGGUAGUUUGACUGGGGCGGUCUCCUCCUAAAGAGUAACGGAGGAGCACGAAGGUUGGCUAAUCCUGGUCGGACAUCAGGAGGUUAGUGCAAUGGCAUAAGCCAGCUUGACUGCGAGCGUGACGGCGCGAGCAGGUGCGAAAGCAGGUCAUAGUGAUCCGGUGGUUCUGAAUGGAAGGGCCAUCGCUCAACGGAUAAAAGGUACUCCGGGGAUAACAGGCUGAUACCGCCCAAGAGUUCAUAUCGACGGCGGUGUUUGGCACCUCGAUGUCGGCUCAUCACAUCCUGGGGCUGAAGUAGGUCCCAAGGGUAUGGCUGUUCGCCAUUUAAAGUGGUACGCGAGCUGGGUUUAGAACGUCGUGAGACAGUUCGGUCCCUAUCUGCCGUGGGCGCUGGAGAACUGAGGGGGGCUGCUCCUAGUACGAGAGGACCGGAGUGGACGCAUCACUGGUGUUCGGGUUGUCAUGCCAAUGGCACUGCCCGGUAGCUAAAUGCGGAAGAGAUAAGUGCUGAAAGCAUCUAAGCACGAAACUUGCCCCGAGAUGAGUUCUCCCUGAGACUUAGAGUCUCCUGAAGGAACGUUGAAGACGACGACGUUGAUAGGCCGGGUGUGUAAGCGCAGCGAUGCGUUGAGCUAACCGGUACUAAUGAACCGUGAGGCUUAACCUU
rnacentral:rRNA from 1 species